GAGGGUAUAGCUCAGUGGUAGAGUGCAUGCAUGCACGAGGUCCUGGGUUCAAUCCCCAGUACCUCCA
rnacentral:tRNA from 1 species